CACAUUGGGACUGAGACACGGCCCAAACUCCUACGGGAGGCAGCAGUGGGGAAUAUUGCACAAUGGGGGAAACCCUGAUGCAGCGACGCCGCGUGAGCGAAGAAGUAUUUCGGUAUGUAAAGCUCUAUCAGCAGGGAAGAAAAUGACGGUACCUGACUAAGAAGCCCCGGCUAACUACGUGCCAGCAGCCGCGGUAAUACGUAGGGGGCAAGCGUUAUCCGGAUUUACUGGGUGUAAAGGGAGCGUAGACGGCGAGGCAAGUCUGAUGUGAAAACCCGGGGCUCAACCCCGUGACUGCAUUGGAAACUGUUUUGCUUGAGUGCCGGAGAGGUAAGCGGAAUUCCUAGUGUAGCGGUGAAAUGCGUAGAUAUUAGGAGGAACACCAGUGGCGAAGGCGGCUUACUGGACGGCAACUGACGUUGAGGCUCGAAAGCGUGGGGAGCAAACAGGAUUAGAUACCCUGGUAGUCCACGCCGUAAACGACGAAAGGUAGGUGUCGGGGAGCAAAGCUCUUCGGUG
rnacentral:rRNA from 1 species